CAGUGGGCCAGCAUGCAUAAGGAAGGGAAGCAAGAGGCAAAUUUAGCAGUGACCCUGUAAAGCCUCCAUCCCACAUCUCUAUCUGCCCAAGCUAUGCCCAGAGGUCCCAUGUGCUGAACUGGGGGCCCAAGGGAGACCAGUGGAAGCCAGCGCUGAAGGAUACUGAGCUGGAUCAGCUCCAGGACCUGACUCGCAGCCCAGCCCCAUGAGAUGUUGUGCCAGCACAAUGAAGCAGAGUCACAGGAGCACGAACGGCCGAGAAUGCUUCAAGCCAGCCUCACUGCCAAAUGUGGAGCCCCCUCCUGCACCAGCAGAGCGGAGGAGCAGUGGAAGAAGGGUGCUUCCACGUGUGAGAGGAUUGCUCAGGCAGCUGAUGGCCUGACCACACCUAGGGUGUUACCUGCUCCUACUGGCAAAGACCAGCGACAAGCACAGCUCUGGUACAUUUGCUUUCAAUUUAUCCUGUUCAACCUGCUCUCACCUAGGUCAGUGCAGCAGCUCCUCUGACUAAGCUGCAGUUUUUCUGGCUUUUUUUUUUUUUCUUUUUCAGUUGGUGAAACUUUUUUUUUUUUUUUUUAACUUAUUCAAGCAGCAGCAACUGACAGCAGCAACAAACCUGACAGUGCUGCGGAUCUACAAUCAACCCUGAG
rnacentral:lncRNA from 1 species